GGAGGGUAGAAUAAUUACUGUCAAUCAACACUGAGAAAAAUAUCUUGUCAAAAUUCAUAUCUUGACUAACAAGAAGAAAAAGUUUGGCUGGUGAUAGCAAUGGCAGCACUCUACUAGACUACUGUUAGACAUUUAACUUUGUAAUAUACAGUUAAAAUAAAAUAAAAAAUGAUAGAAUAUUAGAAAGUUUCCUAGGCCUAAACUUUAAUAGAAUAAAUGUGAAAGAGAACUCAUUCAGAGUGGGUGCAUUCUUUUGGUCCCAAACAUACCAGCUACUGCCUGUAUAUAUUACCAUUAUAAGUGACCCGGACCAGUGAUCUAAAUUUAUGAUUCUAUGAUCAUUAAUAGUAAAUUUUGAACUCUGAUGGAAGAUCCUUUUUUUGAAAUGAUAAAUAAUAGAGACAGGUCACUUCUACAGAGAUAGUUGCAUAAGUAAGCAAGCACAUUUCAAGAUAGCCAAGUAAAGUGUAAAGUAAUUUGUGUUAUGCUGUUAGCCAUUGCUACACAAUAAGUAAAUUUAUCCUUGAGAAAAUUAAUUUUGAAAAAAGAAUUACGGAUCACUGUAAAUCUUCAGGUAAGCAUGAAUUUACAGUGCACUAGUAAUCAAACAGUUUAAUAUAAACUUUGGAUUCACAAAAGGGCUUAUUAAGAAGUAAGAGACAUGAUAUUACACCCUACUUCCUUUAAUAACAAAGUUUCUAGAAUUCUAGUUUCCAUUCUUCAAUCAACAACUGAAAAACUGCUGAAAAACAGACAGCCCAGGGAAUAAAUGGAAGGGUAAAAGAACAGAAUGAAGAACUCAAGUAGUUCCAUAUAUUUAUCUUACUAUGAAAAUAAAGAAUGAAGAGUUGCAUGAAUGUAGUCUUUAAGAACUGAAGUGUAAAUUUGGAACUUGAUUAUAAACAGCUUUAAUACUCUGUGUCUAUUUGGUAACUAGAAAGCCAAAUCUAAUUCUUGGGAUACUUCUGCCUCUUCUCAGGAGGAGAAGAAAAUAGCAAUGUCAGCAGUAAAUGCAACUCAUACAGUUUUCCUGAAUCUGCAGAAAAUCUGACAAGGAUAUGCUGCUGUGGUUGUCUCCCAGAGAAGAGGAGAGAGAGGGUAGUAUGGCAUGAGAAGACAUCUCCCAGAAAUGAAACACGCACAUCAAUUUACUGGGACAUAUCCUCUCUUCCCCACGUGGGAACUUGCACUCACAACAUCGAAGGAGGCAGCUGGAUCUGCUGGGAUCUCUGAAAUCAGGACAUGACGAAACAGGACUUGUAUUGGAACAGGACUCGAAGAAGAAAAAAUGAGGAAAAAUGCAAAAAUUUGUGAGGUCUCAUAAAACUUUCUGACCCUUUUUCUAUGCAAUUUAGAUAUAAAUGUAUGCUAUACACAGAAGGGGGAAACAGCAACAACAGCAAAAACUUCAGGCAUGUGUCUGUGGGUCUGGGCCAGUAGGAUUGUUCUUCUAUCUCAAAAAGCAUAGUCAUCACCGGGGAAUGAAAAAGUAACAAAAUCUGUACCUGUCUUCCUCUAUAUAAAUUCGUUUGAUCACCAGUUUAUAUGUCUGCUUAUUUAAUUAGUAAAGGGCCUGACACCAACUAUUUGUGCAUGCGGAAGUGAAACCCCACCUUUGUGUGCAUGGAAGAAGUAAUUUACAUGACAUUGUCUCAGUGCUAUAACAAGAUAGUUUUCAACAUCCUUGUGCUAUAAUUAUAGGUUCUUUAAUUAGCAAAGAAUACUUCAAUUAGUGUCUUUGCACAUUCCAGACAUCAUUACUGCUACAUUACCCAUGCACUUCACUUACUUCAAUGGUUUUGAAUUAAGUAUAGAGCACAUUCAGGGUUCCUCUUUUAACUUUUAAAAAUCUCCAUUAUCUAGAUUAAUAUUAUGACUCAGAUGAUAUCCCUCUCAUUUUUCCCUCCAGAUCAUGAUCUCUAGUCUGCUACUGUAGGUCAUUUUACGUUAGAUACAUGUACCGUGUCUUUUUUUUAGUAACAUUUUUUUUUUUUAUCCGAACACAUUAUGAUCUAAAUUAAUUGAAAUUUACUAUUAAAUGCAAUUGUUUAUGACUGUUUCUAGCUCUGCAGUUUAAUUCAGGCUUACAAUUAUUUCUGUUGAACUACAGCAAUGUUUUCAGUUUUUCCAAAAAAGAUAAAAAAUCUCUUUCAAUACACAUGGUGAAAUUUCAACUCUAGAAGGUACAUUAUUAUUAAAAUCUACUUAUGUCAUAAAAUAACACCAGAUUCUU
rnacentral:lncRNA from 1 species